AAGAUGGCUUUGGCUAUCACUCUGGGAUGGACCUGCGGUGCAUUAGCUAGUUGGUAAGGUAACGGCUUACCAAGGCGAUGAUGCAUAGCCGAGUUGAGAGACUGAUCGGCCACAAUGGAACUGAGACACGGUCCAUACCCCUACGGGAGGCAGCAGUAGGGAAUCUUCCACAAUGGGCGCAAGCCUGAUGGAGCAACACCGCGUGAGUGAAGAAGGGUUUCGGCUCGUAAAGCUCUGUUGUUGGAGAAGAACGUGCGUGAGAGUAACUGUUCACGCAGUGACGGUAUCCAACCAGAAAGUCACGGCUAACUACGUGCCAGCAGCCGCGGUAAUACGUAGGUGGCAAGCGUUAUCCGGAUUUAUUGGGCGUAAAGCGAGCGCAGGCGGUUGCUUAGGUCUGAUGUGAAAGCCCUCGGCUUAACCGAAGAAGUGCAUCGGAAACCGGGCGACUUGAGUGCAGAAGAGGACAGUGGAACUCCAUGUGUAGCGGUGGAAUGCGUAGAUAUAUGGAAGAACACCAGUGGCGAAGGCGGCUGUCUGGUCUGCAACUGACGCUGAGGCUCGAAAGCAUGGGUAGCGAACAGGAUUAGAUACCCUGGUAGUCCAUGCCGUAAACGAUGAGUGCUAGGUGUUGGAGGGUUUCCGCCCUUCA
rnacentral:rRNA from 1 species